GCACGCCGCCACCCAGCAGCCAGGGCCGCCUCUUAAAGGGAGGUGGCCGGCCUUAAAGGACCCCCGCGCGCCCAGCCGGCGGGAGCGCGGCGGCCCGGCUCCCGCAGGGCCGCGCCGAGGCAGGCGAGCCCCCGCGGCGCCCAGGCGCGGGCCCGGGCCCCCGCCGCCGCCGCCGCCGCCGGGCGCGGCAUUUUUAUUCAGGCGACGCUUAAGGGAGCCCGGCCGCGCCCGGUGCAUUGUGGGAGCGGCCCGCGGCCCGUUUUCGGGAGGAGGCGGAGGGCGCAAAGCGAGCCGGUGGAUCCAUAAAGAACCCAGCCAACCCGCAGAGGGAGGGGAGGGGCUGAGCUGUGAGGAGAGCGGGGCCCAAGAACCAUGUCUACGCGGGAGUCCUUUAACCCGGAAAGUUACGAAUUGGACAAAAGCUUCCGGCUAACCAGAUUCACUGAACUGAAGGGCACAGGCUGCAAAGUGCCCCAAGAUGUCCUGCAAAAAUUGCUGGAAUCUUUACAGGAGAACCACUUCCAAGAAGAUGAGCAGUUUCUGGGAGCCGUUAUGCCAAGGCUUGCACCUGUUUGUCAGAUGCGCAGCCACCCCCUGUGUCUAGUGUCAACCACAUUGGACAGCACCAGACCCUAUUCUAGUAGACUGUGGUGGCACAGGUGUGAAAGAGAAACCGUGGAUAACGGAGCUGCUUUUCAGCCCUAGGGGCGUGCUCAAGAAUCCCCCGUUACUCUGAUCAAAGGACUUGCUAAGUUUAGAAAUAAAGCGCUUUACAAAUCAAAUGCAUUGGAAUGGAUACUUGUGUCAUUCCUUUGAGGCACGGUGGGCUUUCCUUGGUUCAAACCACAGAUUACAUUUACCCGAUCGUAGACGACCCUUACAUGAUGGGCAGGAUAGCGUGUGCCAAUGUCCUCAGUGACCUCUAUGCAAUGGGGGUCACGGAAUGUGACAAUAUGCUGAUGCUCCUUGGAGUCAGUAAUAAAAUGACCGACAGGGAAAGGGAUAAAGUGAUGCCUCUGAUUAUCCAAGGUUUUAAAGACGCAGCUGAGGAAGCAGGAACAUCUGUAACAGGCGGCCAAACAGUACUAAACCCCUGGAUUGUCCUGGGAGGAGUGGCUACCACUGUCUGCCAACCCAAUGAAUUUAUCAUGCCAGACAAUGCAGUGCCAGGGGACGUGCUGGUGCUGACAAAACCCCUGGGGACACAGGUGGCAGUGGCUGUGCACCAGUGGCUGGAUAUCCCUGAGAAAUGGAAUAAGAUUAAACUAGUGGUCACCCAAGAAGAUGUAGAGCUGGCCUACCAGGAGGCGAUGAUGAACAUGGCGAGGCUCAACAGGACAGCUGCAGGACUCAUGCACACGUUCAAUGCCCACGCCGCCACUGACAUCACGGGCUUCGGGAUUUUGGGCCAUGCGCAGAACCUGGCCAAGCAGCAGAGGAACGAGGUGUCGUUUGUAAUUCACAACCUCCCGGUGCUGGCCAAGAUGGCUGCGGUGAGCAAGGCCUGCGGAAACAUGUUCGGCCUCAUGCACGGGACCUGCCCGGAGACUUCAGGCGGCCUUCUGAUCUGUUUACCACGUGAGCAAGCAGCUCGGUUCUGUGCAGAGAUAAAGUCCCCCAAAUAUGGUGAAGGCCACCAAGCAUGGAUUAUUGGGAUUGUAGAGAAGGGCAACCGCACAGCCAGAAUCAUAGACAAACCCCGGAUCAUCGAGGUCGCACCACAAGUGGCCACUCAAAAUGUGAAUCCCACACCCGGGGCCACCUCUUAAUCUAGACAGAAAUAGCUGUUUGGUUUUGUUUUUAAAUAGAUCUAUUUCCCUUAUCACUUCAAUUAAAGACUAUAAACAACAAAAAUCUCAUUGUGUCUACACAUCGGGGUGACCUUAGGUCGGUUUGUAAGUGGAUACAAUUAAUAAAAUAAAAUCCAUUGCCUUUUUUUCCUGUUACAUUAACUGAAGAUGCACCUAAUCUUGAGGCAGCUUCUGAGUUGAGAAUUAUAUUGUUAUCCAAUACUGUUGAUUCAUUUUGAAUCUUUAGACACUUAUCUCUUGCCGCAUAGGCUUUUUAAAGGUGCUUUCACAUAGCACAGGCAUUACCCGUAGUCGUGUCAAAUAGCAGUUGGUGUCUUCAUUUUAUGUAUAUUUAUCAUAUAAGUCUGAUUUUUUUUUUUAAGCGUCUUGAAUGGUUUUCUGGAGAGACAGCAUUGGUAAGUGGCACAUGACGGUAUCCCAGUCAUAAGAGGGUUGCAUGAUUCCUUUGAGUGUUUGAUUUGAAAAGCCUAGUCUUGUCUCUCAAGAGCAUCUCGGACCCAGAACAUUCUCCAGUAGUGCAUUCAGUUCAACACAGCAAGUGCUUCAUUGCAUGGAAAACACUUUGAAGACAAAAAAGAAAUCUUAUUUCUUUUUUUGUAGCCUUCCUGAUAUUUACAGUAAUACCAUUAACUGUUUUAUCGAUAGCAAAAAAGGAUACUUUUUGCAAUGUUAUUAGAUGUUCUAUAGUGCUACAAGGAAUUGCCUUCCGAAUGGAGGUUCAUGUAUAAUACUCAUUUACAAUUCAAUAUAUAAUUACACAAAUAAUUUUUAAAUAUAAUCAAUAGUAAAGACUGUUCUGUGGAUGGUAGUGUUUAAUACAUUUUCUAUUUUGUACAGUGAUUUCAGGCCUUUUGUUUUCUUAAAAUCAGCAGCUGUUUGGCCUAAUUCUUAGCAUUAUUUUGUCCUUUGCGCCAGUACUUUUUUGUGCACGCUUUUUGUGAUCUGUGUUAAAAACCUGCAUUGCCAACAUUGCAGCUCGAACUUAAACUUGUUAUUCAAAUAAAUAUUUAAUUUUUUAAAUUGCUCUUGUAUAAUCAGAUGCCCCUUUUAGUAUUAUUUUAGAAGCGUUGGGAGGGUUUUGCCUAAAGUACAAUUUAUCGGGAAAAACUAGAUUUUAGUUUUAUAAAACUUUUAAGUCUUUCAUGGGACCUAUAUUUUCUUGAAUUAAAUUUUGUAGUUCUAGAAUAAAUAGGCAAUCUAAAAAGGUGUUCUCUGUGUUAUGUAAAGUGGAGGCUUCCUUAUAUUUUAACCUACUAAGCAAUGAGGAGGGAUUCCUGUCAUUAAGCACAAGGGCGCUGGAUCCUCAAGUGCCCAUCUUCGUGAGAGAAAAAGCAGCACAUCCUGCCCAUUUCUGGUGCUUUCUGCUCACAGGCACCAAAGCUGCACAUGUAAACUGACUUCUUGCCAAAGGAAAUGACCCCUGGGAAGUUCAAGCUCCUGGAAGAGGCUUUAACUCGGACGCGCCCUCCUCCAGGAACCAGUGGGCAGGGCAGCCUUCAUGCAUGUGUAACUGGACCUCCAGCCAUAAGCAUGGUGUGCAGUAUGGAAGAGCCUGCUACGGAACUGAAAGUGAUUGGACAUUUUAUAGGAAUUGAUAGAGAUGUUGGUCCUCAAAAGCUACAAACCAGUGGUCUGCAAAAUAAAGUGUGUUGGAAACCUCUAGUGAGAUAAA